AUUCUAUACCCCAUUAUUUGCCCGACCCCUGUCUGCUCAGUUUUAGGUUGGGGUGACCACGGAGUAUAAAAUAACCUCCAUGAAGAAGGGGAUAUUUCCCUUAUUAGAGAACCACACUUCCAAGAACUAAUAAAUUAAUUUUCAAUGACCCGAUACCCGAUAAUCGAUCAACGAACCAAGUUACCCUGGGGAUAACAGCGCAAUCCACCCUGAAAGCCCUUAUUAACAGGUGGGUUUACGACCUCGAUGUUGGAUCAGGGUAUCCCAGUGGUGCAGCAGCUACUGAGGGUUCGUUUGUUCAACGAUUAA
rnacentral:rRNA from 1 species